rnacentral:lncRNA from 1 species
CCCGUACCACUGGACAUCAGCUAGUUCUGGAUAGAGGGAGGAAUCCAGGAAACAGCUAUCAUUGUAGCUCCUGUGGGAGGCCCAAGAAAGGAGAUGAGACAGUUAGUUAGUGGAGGAGGAUGGGUUCAGCCAGGCCUGCACUGAGAAGGAUAUGUUCACCUUGACAGGGCCCUGUGCUAAUCACGAGUCUUUCCUGUUCGGAGCAGUGAGGCCUGAGACCCUCAACAGUGCUGUGUGUACAGAAGGCCCCCAGAAUCCACACAAAGGGGCCGCCUGAAACCUAGAGCAUUUGUGAAGGAGGAAAAUGGAAGGAACAACUGGAUGUUGUAAAUGUUUCUCAUCUGGCCUUAAAAUCCAUGAAAGCUGGAAAAUCACAAGGCAUCUGUGCAUAUACUGGUGGAUUUUAAUGAGAGUCCUGUGUUUGGAGCACCAGAAAUAAACCAGCUUCAGAAGCAAAAACUAGGUUAACAGGAGGAGGAAGCAGAGCUAGAGAUGGAAGGAGACCCAGCCAGCCCGGGCUCCAGUGACAUCGGCUGGUACACGCUUUUGUUUGCUUACGCUUGUUGAACUGAGUUUUUCAUAUGUAACUAACGAAUACUGGCACAUGAUCUGAACGUCUAUGACACUCUUUCGAGCUGACACAGUGAAGAACAUAGAAGGAGAACUCACCCAGUCUGCCAGGGUCACAGAAUGAUCAUACUCAAGAUCUUCCUGGGGAGUCAAUGGCAAAUUUCACUGGG